UUAAAUUGAAGAGUUUGAUCAUGGCUCAGAUUGAACGCUGGCGGCAGGCCUAACACAUGCAAGUCGAACGGUAACAGGAAGCAGCUUGCUGCUUUGCUGACGAGUGGCGGACGGGUGAGUAAUGUCUGGGAAACUGCCUGAUGGAGGGGGAUAACUACUGGAAACGGUAGCUAAUACCGCAUAACGUCGCAAGACCAAAGAGGGGGACCUUCGGGCCUCUUGCCAUCGGAUGUGCCCAGAUGGGAUUAGCUAGUAGGUGGGGUAAAGGCUCACCUAGGCGACGAUCCCUAGCUGGUCUGAGAGGAUGACCAGCCACACUGGAACUGAGACACGGUCCAGACUCCUACGGGAGGCAGCAGUGGGGAAUAUUGCACAAUGGGCGCAAGCCUGAUGCAGCCAUGCCGCGUGUAUGAAGAAGGCCUUCGGGUUGUAAAGUACUUUCAGCGGGGAGGAAGGGAGUAAAGUUAAUACCUUUGCUCAUUGACGUUACCCGCAGAAGAAGCACCGGCUAACUCCGUGCCAGCAGCCGCGGUAAUACGGAGGGUGCAAGCGUUAAUCGGAAUUACUGGGCGUAAAGCGCACGCAGGCGGUUUGUUAAGUCAGAUGUGAAAUCCCCGGGCUCAACCUGGGAGCUGCAUCUGAUACUGGCAAGCUUGAGUCUCGUAGAGGGGGGUAGAAUUCCAGGUGUAGCGGUGAAAUGCGUAGAGAUCUGGAGGAAUACCGGUGGCGAAGGCGGCCCCCUGGACGAAGACUGACGCUCAGGUGCGAAAGCGUGGGGAGCAAACAGGAUUAGAUACCCUGGUAGUCCACGCCGUAAACGAUGUCGACUUGGAGGUUGUGCCCUUGAGGCGUGGCUUCCGGAGCUAACGCGUUAAGUCGACCGCCUGGGGAGUACGGCCGCAAGGUUAAAACUCAAAUGAAUUGACGGGGGCCCGCACAAGCGGUGGAGCAUGUGGUUUAAUUCGAUGCAACGCGAAGAACCUUACCUGGUCUUGACAUCCACGGAAGUUUUCAGAGAUGAGAAUGUGCCUUCGGGAACCGUGAGACAGGUGCUGCAUGGCUGUCGUCAGCUCGUGUUGUGAAAUGUUGGGUUAAGUCCCGCAACGAGCGCAACCCUUAUCCUUUGUUGCCAGCGGUCCGGCCGGGAACUCAAAGGAGACUGCCAGUGAUAAACUGGAGGAAGGUGGGGAUGACGUCAAGUCAUCAUGGCCCUUACGACCAGGGCUACACACGUGCUACAAUGGCGCAUACAAAGAGAAGCGACCUCGCGAGAGCAAGCGGACCUCAUAAAGUGCGUCGUAGUCCGGAUUGGAGUCUGCAACUCGACUCCAUGAAGUCGGAAUCGCUAGUAAUCGUGGAUCAGAAUGCCACGGUGAAUACGUUCCCGGGCCUUGUACACACCGCCCGUCACACCAUGGGAGUGGGUUGCAAAAGAAGUAGGUAGCUUAACCUUCGGGAGGGCGCUUACCACUUUGUGAUUCAUGACUGGGGUGAAGUCGUAACAAGGUAACCGUAGGGGAACCUGCGGUUGGAUCACCUCCUUACCUUAAAGAAGC
rnacentral:rRNA from 1 species